rnacentral:rRNA from 1 species
GACGAACGCUGGCGGCGUGCUUAACACAUGCAAGUCGAACGAAGAGCGAUGGAAGCCUGCUUCUAUCAAUCUUAGUGGCGAACGGGUGAGUAACGCGUAAUCAACCUGCCCUUCAGAGGGGGACAACAGUUGGAAACGACUGCUAAUACCGCAUACGAUCCAAUCUCGGCAUCGAGACUGGAUGAAAGGUGGCCUCUAUUUAUAAGCUAUCACCGAAGGAGGGGAUUGCGUCUGAUUAGCUAGUUGGAGGGGUAACGGCCCACCAAGGCGAUGAUCAGUAGCCGAUCUGAGAGGAUGAACGGCCACAUUGGGACUGAGACACGGCCCAGACUCCUACGGGAGGCAGCAGUGGGGAAUCUUCCGCAAUGGACGAAAGUCUGACGGAGCAACGCCGCGUGAGUGAUGACGGCCUUCGGGUUGUAAAGCUCUGUUAAUCGGGACGAAUGGUUCUUGUGCAAAUAGUGCGAG